CCUCUUUGAUACUUUUUAUUUCCUCCAGUAAAAUGAUAGUUGAUUUUGUAAAAUAUGGGAAGAGAAAAAUAUCAGAAAGUAAGGUUAAUUUCAUAACUAACUUAACAUUUCAUAUUCAAAGAAUGUUUUUAUUUUAAAAUUAUAUACUACUUUACUAAAAUUUGUUCUUAAUGAUGAAAUUUCAGUUAGUGGUGAAAAAUAUUGCAUGUAAUGUAACAUUUCAAAAAAAUAAAGGUUUUGGAUUUUAAAUAGCACUAAAGAGUGAUAUUAUCAUAAUCAAAAGGGUAACAUGAAAUGUCAGCCAAACCCCAGUUUUCCCCAUAGCGUCUUCCUUUUACUGGUCAUUACUAGAAAACUGUUACUUUUUUAGAGGCAAGGGGGAAAAUUAUUAGUUAAUAUAGACGAAGGCAACAUUUUCUUUCUUUAUGAAUAUUUUGACUGCAUCCUAAUUUUUGCAGUUUUAGGAACUCGAAUUUAUUUUGUGUAAGAAAUUAUUUUUGAAAUGUCAAGUUCCACAUACGUAGUAUGUGCUCAGUAAAUAAUUCAUUAAAUGAGUAGUGAUGCUGCUGUUUCAUGCUGUUAGUUCCUGCUUAAAUUGUGGAAAAUCUAUUUAACUGACACUGUUCUUGAGAAUAUGAACUUCAGAAACUUGCUAUUAAAGAUGCUUUCUGUUUUUAAAAUAGAGUGAAUAUGUUUAUUUCACUUUUUAAGAUUAAAAAGGUAUGGUUUAUGUUGUCAGUAGAUUAAGAAUUACACUAUGAACUUGGUCAGGAAUAAAGACAUGGCAUUGGAGCAGCUACAGGACCCUUCUUUAAAUAGCUUGUGUUACACAAAGAAAAAAAAAAAUUCUGCACUGUAGAAAUGGUCACAGAAUUUGAUUGUUUGAAGUGGGAAAUUUUAGUGCCAAAACGAAAAUUUGGGUUUGUUACCCAUUUAAAGUUUGAACUUAAACACCUGUAUUCAGUGAAUAUAGUAAUGUUUGUGUGGUUUAUCUUAAAUGCCAGAAAAAAAAAUUGUUCAAAAAAUAAAGCUGUGACCUUUAAUAAUUAUUGAGUGGAUUUAAAUUUGGGGAAGGGAAGAUAGCAUAAGUGAUAAUUUUACAUCAGAGUAUAUUGGUAGAUGUGUUAUUAGACAUAUAGUUAUUUCUUUUAUUAAAGGGAAGGUCUGAAAGAAUUUGGUAUAGUAAUAUUAUUGAUAUACUUUAUGUAUUUUAUUGAUAAUUAAAAUAAUCAUCUGCCCUGAUUUCAAAGGAUAUUGUGUAAUAUGUCCUGAUGCUUGUUUAUCUGCAGCAUAUAAAGGGCUCAUGAUCUGAUUUUCAAUUUGAAGAGCUGACUUAAAGAUUAAGUUAGGAUUUUCUGGUCUUUAGAGUAACACGUGUAAAACCCCAGGCCUUUUACCCAGUGAAAACUAUAAUUGUACAUUAUAAUUUCCUUUCUUGAUUAUUUGUCCUUUUUGAGGAUGAUUUAAUUUCACCGUGGGCUGAUUCUGAAAAAUAACAUAUAACACUUUUACAGUGUUUUAUUUUUUAGCUGAAAACAUACAGUAUAUGUUACAGUAUAUGACGUUAUCGUUGAUCUCAUUCAUGAGGCAAAACAAAUAACUUUAUGAUAGCUGACAUUUCAUCAGAAGUCACUGGAAAAUAUGAAUGUGUAUUUACUGUUACUUGCUUGUCUUGAGUCGGUUGUAAUGUUUUUUCUUCAUCAAGCUCUUAAUUUUCUUUGUGUUAUGGUAAGACUGAAUUAGUCCCCUUGUGAUAGGCUGUGGGAGACUUUCCUACAGUGACCUUGAGGGAGAUGUUUCCCUCUGUAGGAGCAGAAAGUGAGGUACUCCAUUAGGGCAGCGUAUAGGAGGAAAGUUUGUUGAAAGGAUUGUCAAAAUGGAAAUGUUUAAGGUGUUUAAACCCCCGCCCCCCCCUUUAGAGGUUGUGAUAUCAGGUUCACUUUUCAGUAGAUUAAAUGUUGGCAUACCAUCUGAAAAUUUCCUUUGUUAGUGUUUGAAUCUAGGUAAUAAGAAAAGCUGGAAGGGGUGGGAUGUAUUUGUUUUGCAAGCCAUGUGUAUGUAUUGAGUAUGUCUCUCUCUGAUAUUUCUAUUUAGAAAGUUAUUUUAACUAGCAAGUAAAGUUUUACUUUUCCUCAUUCAAAUCAGACUUUUGUAACUGUACGUUUUUUCUUGUCCAAGUUUUUUUGGGGAAAUAAUUGUAAAGAGUGUUUCGUAGCUCUUCAUUUUUAAAAAGAAUAUAGUUUUACGUUCUUAAGUUACCGAUCAUUUUUGGGGGAAAAUUUUCAGAUGUAUAUGUAGGGUUUUGGAGAAUAUUUGUAUAGGGUCAGAAAAAUGAAUGUCCAUUAAAUGGCUCUUUAGAAAAAUUUUUUUAAGUAAUUUUUUUUUGUUUUGAGAUGACUGUAGGUACCAUUUACCUGCGUCUGCAAGAAACGGUGCCCAGAGAGCCUUUAUACCUUUUUACCCGCUUUCCUUCAAAGGUAACAUCUUGCAAAACUGUAGUUGAGUGUCACAGCCUGGUUAUUGAUGCUGAUGUUGUCAGGAUGCAAAGCAGUUAGUUCCAUCACCAAGAGGAUUCCUGAUGUUGCCUUCUUGUAGUGGCAUCCGCUUCUCCAUUACAGUAAUUAGAAAAAAAAAUUCCUGGUGGAAUGAUUAAACACUUACUUACUCUUUUAAACAUGGAGUAAAUUUUUCAAAUUGCCUGGCAUUAUUUGAACAUAUCAAGGAGAAAAUCAAGAAAGAGAAAACCAGAAUUUUACCAAUGUGUUCUUCUAACUGAAGUGUAGUAUAAAUAGGAAUGGUGAUUUUAAAAAGAGAGGAGGCUGGGUUUGGCCUUUUCACUGAGGGCGUUUUAAGGCUAUGAGUAGGGCCUGGUUCAUACUGUGUGCUUGUCAGCUUUGAAAUUUUUUAACUAUAUUUGUGGUAAGAAACACUUUUUAAAAUUUGUUAAGACUUAGUACUAUUAUUUGGGUAAAUGAAUCAUUUAGAUACUUGUUUUAGGUAAGCUUUAAUGAUGAAUGAAAGUAACUCCAGAGUCAGCAGACAAGGAGGAAAAAAAAUGUGUUAUUUUAGGAUGAAUAUGAUGUGCUGCUAGGUGGCUCAUCUCAGGUGAAGUAGCAAAGAAGUCUUUUAGAGAAAACCUGUGUAUGAAAAUACAAACCUGGAAAACAGAAAAAUUAGGGCGAGAAUAUAAGAUUGUGCUUUCCAGAACAGUUCCCUGUAGUGUUCCUUUAAAUGAUAAUUGCUUAUAAUGGAUUUAAAACACAGUUUGAUAGAUCACAGUAUUUUAGACAUUUAUUAUAUACAAUGAGGCAUACCUGUAUUGUUACUUUUAUCUGUUUUCGUUAGUAGUUUAAAAACAAAUGCAAGGUUCUGUUUUUUACGUUAUCCAAUAGAGUAUCUUUUCCUUUGAUUUAAAAAAAAAAAAUUCUGUUGGAAUGGUAAGAUAAAGAUGAAGAUAUUCAGCCUUGAAUAUAAACACAGUUUUUACACUUUAGAUUUAAUAAAAAACCAAACUCCUUGCCGUCGAGUUGAUUCCGACUCAUAGAGACCCUAUAGGACAGAGUAGAACUGCCCCAUGGGGUUUCCAAGGAGCACCUGGUGGAUUCGAACUGCUGACCCUUUGGUUAGCAGCCGUAGCGCUUAACCACUACGCCACCACGGUUUCCUUAGAUUUAAUGGAGGCAUUUAAAAUAUUCCUUCAUUAAAGCUAGAUAGUUUUGUCUGUUCUUGAACAAUUGGUAAUCUUGCUUGAAACGCCAUUGCCUGCUUAGCAUGUCAUACCUUGCUAACUCUUGCCACAGAGUGAAGUAAAGGGUCUGCUGGAAAAAGAGAAAAAGGUUAUUUCUGAAUAAUGUGGGAUACUUUUAUUUUCCUUUUAUCAAUUAAUAGGACUACUUUUGAGUAUCACUUGAAUUUUUUUUUUUUUUUUUUCUGGAUGGGAAUGUUGAAAUUGCAAACCUUAUGUUUUAGCAUUUAGGGAAUAAAAGGAAAAAACAAACAGUUAAAUAUAUAUCAGUUCAAAAGGCAAAAGAAUGAUAUUCAGCCUUUUUGAACAGCUGAGCUGUAUUUAUCUUGGAUUUGUCAGUCAACCACUUAUUUAUUAUUUACUUUGUGAAGCCAGUAUUCUAGUAGCUUUUGAGAAGGUGAGAAAUGAAGAAGGUAGGCAAAAGGAAGUGGAAACAUUUUAUUGUCUAGAUGGGAAGAUAAAAUGUAAAAUCAUGAGGGAGCUAAAUUUCUGUAACAUAAAAACUGCCAACAACUAUACACUAAUAUAGCUUAAACUGAAUCCAUAAAAGUAAGUUUGUUGAGAAGUGGGACAGGCUUAACGAAAACUCAGACGGGAUGAAUUUAGAGUUACCUGUGAAGGUGAUGUGGAAAAUGAGUUAGGGAAGAGAACUGACCUCUCAGAUGUGACCUGGAAGUGGGAGUUUAACUUGAUGCAAGUGCCUGUAGAGAUCAGAGAAAGAGCAGCUGGCUCUUACUGAUCACUGUGCCUGGAGUACUGUUUUCAGGGGCCAUCCUGAAAAUCCUGGCUUUGCGCUUUUACUAGCUGGAUGAUCUUGGCUAAGUUACUUAACCUCUCUCUGGCUGUUUCUUCAUCUGUAAAGUAGGACUACUAAUAGUAGCUGUCUUACUGGGUUUUAAGACAGCCCCAAGAACGGCGCCAAGGACAUAGUAAGCUGUGGUGGAGUAAAUUGUUAGUGGUGAGGGACUGACUAGCAGUGAGGAAGGCGUUUACUUAGGAGCCUUCCCUGCUCAUCUGGGGGGUAAGUUGAUGAAGGUCCGGACUCGGCGUUAGUGUAGGAAGUAAGAAGGAACAAUACCAGGGUAGAAGAUAGAACUUGAAGGGUUGGAUUUCUGAAGGUAAGAGAAGCGGCUCAAGGUUGUAGUUCUGGCAUAAUUGGAGGGUGGCAGUGCUGGAGAAAUUAAAGAUGCUGAAUUGUUUUGAGCAUUUUAAAAUUCAUAGGACUUGGGACUCUUCUUGCUAAUCUGGGGGUAAGAUGGGGGAAGAGUGCUGGGAGAUGAGUUGAAGAUGUUGGUUUUAAACAAACAAACAAACAAAAACCAGCUUUCUUUCUGGCUAUGAAAUAAAUACAUGGUCUCUGAUGAGAAAAUUGGAGAAGAAAUAAGGGAAAAAAAAAUCACUCCAUUUUACUACCCAACAAAAAUUACUGUUUUGAUUUAUUUCCUUUUAAUCAUUUUCUCCUAAUAGUCCUGUGUUUACAGAAUUAAGAGUUUACUGAAGGUUUCAUAUUAUGUUCUGCUUUUUUUUUUUCCAUUUUAUAUUAUAGCGUAUUUCCCUAUGUCAUUAAAGAGCCUUUGUAAACGUGGUUUAAAAUUGUUGCAUGGUAUGACAUAGGAUGCAUGUACCAUACUUAUUUCACCACUUCUCUUACUGCUUGACGUUUUGGGUUUUUGUUUGUUAAUUUACUUUUUGUUAGAAUUUGCCUUUUGAUAUUAUGAAUAAUGUGGUAGAGAGUACCUUUUUGUGUACGUAAACAUUUUUGCCUCCACUUCAGUUUCCUUUGGAUGGGAGAUACAGAUUUUGUUUUGUGUGCCUACAAGUUAUAAUUAAAGCUAAGUGAGUGAACGAAUUCCCCUAAGGAAAUGAACUCAGAGGGAGAUAAAUUAUCAGGCCAAGGAUUGAUGUGUUUUUUUUUUUUUGCUUGAGGAUUGAUGCUGAUGGUGGUGAUAAAGGUAUAAAAUUAGAGAUUUGGUUGAUUAUUUAACAUAAAAAUACAAAUUUUUAUUAGCGUAUGAAUGGAGCACAUGAUGAUAUUUGGUACAGAUAAUAUUUUUGUAUAAAUGGAUUAUGUGGUGUCUAGAUGGAAUUCCUGUCAUUCUUUGACCUGUGCUUAUUGAGAUGUAGUGUAAAUCCAGUUGGAGUCUGUCAUUGAGAGAACCCUUGAAUUCCUGUUUUUUUUUUUUUUUUUUAAUGAAAGAAGCAGUGUAGUAUAGUGGAAAGAGUUGGGUUCAGGAGCCAGACAACAAGGUUGGAAUUGCUUUCUGACUUACUGGCGGGGUGGGCCUAGCAGGUCAUUUAAAGUAUCUGAGCCACAGCUUUCUCCUUUGUGAAGAGUGGAUAAUGCUUACCUUCAGAAUCCUUGUGGGAAUCAAAUAUGGUUAUCUCUGUAUUUGCUUGCCACAAAGCUGCUUCAAAACUGCUAGCUGCCAACAUUAUUGUGUCAUUUUCUUAAGUAAUUUUAAUAAUAUUAAUUAUUAACAAAAAUAAUUAUGGCCUAUGUUUAUUGAAUUACUGUUAUAUUCUGUGUACUCUUCUAAGUAAUUUAGGGCAUUAUCUCGUCUUACUUUGGAUACAACAAGAUUUUCCUCAUAGCAGUGGUGGUGGGAAAAUGUCCCCACAAGGGCAACUUAUCAAAGUUGUUUUUUUAGUGCUGUAAAAUUAUAUAUAUCUUGUUAAAAGUCUAAGAAGAAAUCAGGCACAAAAGGACUUUUCUUUUAAGUUGAUUUUUUCCUAAUACUGUAAUUUGGAAGACUAGGAAUUGUAUAGUGUAAACUAGUCAACGAAAUGUGUACACCCUCUGAAAACUCUCUUUCCGCUUCGGCACUGCCACUUGCAUGUAGUGUUUGCUCCAUAUUUUCUCUCCAGCUGCUUGAAAUCCUUUUUGGAAUGAGGUAUAGUCUAAAUAAAUACAUACAAUAAAAAUUAUGUGGCCUGAGAGGAUAGAAUAGCUGGGAGACAGGUUGGAGAGAAUGUUAAGAGUCUCUAGGGUAGAGCUUCUCUACUUUUUCCUUAUUGGCAGAGUGGAAAAGGAACACCCCCACCCCAUAACCUGAAGCAGCACAUCACAAGUGAGCAGAAGAAAUCUUAUCUUGAAAAUUCACGUACACCUUAAUUUUCUCCUCUGUAGAACAUAAAAAAAAAAAAAAAAAUUUUUUUUUUUUUUUUAGCACAAGCAAGUUUAUUCUAAUAUAAACAUUUUAAUUAAUCAUUAUGAAAACUUAAGUUCCAGGAAGAUACACUGUGUUUGGCUUAUGUUGACGUUUUCCUCUCUUGUAUCGCUUUGUGUCUUUGGGGCGGAAGGGUGGAGUGGGAUGUUGGCCUUUGCUGCCUAUUCCUCAGUGAGGAGCCCAGCUCAACAGUAUAGUUUUUAGCUGCCUUUAACCAUUCCUGGAUCUCUUCUUGCAUCCCCAGAAGUUUAUGAAAAAAGGAUCAUUACAUGAGAGGAGAAAACCGUCUGUAGGUAGGAAAUGUUAUUUCCAUGAACUGAAGCAUGAGAUAUUUGUUAGUAACGUAACUGCAAUUUGUACCAGCAUUUUCUCUUUCCAGCCAGAUCAUCCUGUAAUUUUUUAACAUAUGCUUUUUUGGGGAAGGAAAUGUAUAUUUUUUCACAGAGUGUUUUUUUUUUUCCUUUCGGUUCCAUGUUAAAAAUGUACUCUCAUACGGACAGACCGUUGUGAGUCAUUCAAGCUACUGUGAGCUGGUUGGGAACUUAGAGAUCCCAUAGAAAUGAAAACAGAUUAGGGAUUGAUUAUUAAUGUUUAUUGCAUUGGGUGGUGACUUGGAUGAAACCUUCAAAAUAAUAAAACAAUUUGAGAUAAGGUGCAGGACAGAAAAUAGUAUACUUUAAAGGCUCUGUUUCAGCCUGUAGGAAGUGCUUCGAUUUGGACUGAUGGGGUUUCUCUGAAUUUGUGGUAAUCUAAUUGAUGAAAGAUCAUUCCAGUUUCCAAAUGCUAGUCUGUCUGGAGGCAGCCACUCCCAAGCCUCACUCAGAAGUUGUUGGGAAGUUUAUUUGCUUUCUGGUAGUUUUGCCGGUGAGCCAUCGUGAGGCUUUAAAAAAUGAGCAGGACCAACUCAUAAUUGCUCUCCCACCACUUCGUGGGUGACUAAUGUAGAGAACACGGGGUGACUUACAUGAUCCCGGCAGCUCCAAUCAAUGAGCAAAGGCCUGCUGCUCUUGGAGAGAGUUAGUGGUCGUGGAGUGCCAUGGGGAGCCCCACGGGGUGUUACCAUCAUCCAGCCUCUCAGUCCUGGAGGCAUAUGUUCUUGUUUCCAUGUUGCUGGGGGAUAAAGAAGAGGUUUGCUUCUUGCUCAUCUCACUGUGAACUUAUUGGCAGGAGCAUGGCUUAGACGCAUGUGAGCUAAGAGAAGGUGAGCUUGUAUGGCCCCUCCUAGACCAGGGCUGAGCUCCCUCGUGUUAGCAGGUCCUCCUAGAUUUUUGCUGUUUGGUAGCCCUACUGUAUGUAGCUGAUUUUAUCAUUUGGUGAGAGGCCCAUUUGCUUAUCUGGUAGGUUGUUGACAUGCUAAAGUUUUGGAAAAUAUUUUUCUCUGUGGUUCCCAGUUUGAAAUAAAGUUAAAGGGAAGGGUGUGUUUCAUGUAGAAUCUCUUAGUGGGUGCAUAAAGACAACUUGAAUUGGUGAUACCUUUUUUCCAAUGAGGUGGUAUUUAGAGCCAUUUCAAGACUGUCCUAAGUAUCCUAAAUAUUGAUGGCUAGCUUUUUUUUUUUUUUUUUUUACUCUAGGUCAUGUUGUUGUUAGGUGCCAUCGAGUCAAUUCCGACUCAACAACUCUGUGUACAACAGAAUGAAACACUGCUCAGUCAGAACCAAAAUUUUGGGUAAAGGAAUGUACUUUUCCCAAUCAGUUAUAAGCAUGCAUGGAAAUUUUCAGAGUACUGUCAGGAGAGUAAGGAACCCUGGUGGAGCAAUGGUUAAGCACUUGGCUGCUAACCAAAAGAUUGGCACUUCAAACCCACCAGGCACCCCUGUGGGAGGAAAAGACCUGACAAUCUGCUCCCAUAAAGAUUACAGUCUAGGAAACUCUAUGGGGCGGUUCUCCUCUGUCGCUAUGAGAUGGAAUUGACUUGAUGGCAAACAACAUCAGAAGAACAGAAUUAUUUUAACCCCCAUCAUUUAUAUAACUAACAUUACGUGAUCACGUCCAAAAGGAGCCUGAACCCUGAUUGUACCCUUUUUGAAUUAUAAGUGUUGCCUGAGAAGAAAAAGAGAAGAAAAUCAUACCAAGCCUACCAUCCUCCUGAAGAAAAGGGAUGCAAGACAGGAGAUGUCAACACAGUCUCAAGUGUCCGCCUGAUCCAAGAAGCUCACUCCUCACCAGCAUCCCUCUCCAUCCCAUUGUCUAGUCCAAUCCCUGUCUGAAGAGUUGGCAACAGAAUUCUUAAUGGAUUAAAAUGAAAAGACUAAAGUACUAACUUUUAUAAUGUUGAUGGGGUGAUGGUUAGUCCAUUUUGUAUUUUCAUUUAUUUAAAGGAGAAAAACCUGUUGAUGUUGAGUCAUUUCUGACUGGCAACCCCAUGUUUGUCAGACUAAAACUCUGCUCCACAGGGUUUUCGUGACUGUGACCUUUCUAAAGAAGAUCCCCAGGCCUUUCUUCCAAAGUGCCUCUGGGUAGAUUUGAAUUGCCAACUUUUUGGUUUGGUUAGUUAGCCAAGUGCAAAAUGUUUGCGCCACCAGGUGACACAUUCAAAGUAAAGUAGACUGGACUGUAAUUUGGUUGUAGGUAUCUGAGACAAAAACCAAACCCAUUGCGGUCAAGUCGAUUCCAAUUCAUAGCAGUCAUAUAGGACAGAGUAGAACUGCCCUACCGGGCUUCUAAGGCUAUAAUCUUUAUGGAAGCAUACGGUCACAUCUUUCUUCCUCGGAGCAGUUAGUGGGUUCUAACUGCUGACCUUUUGGUUAGCAGCUGAAUGCUUCAACCAUUGCACCACGGGGGCUCCUGGUAUUUGAAACAGGGCCUGUUAAUACAGUUGUUUCUUUAUUGGUGUGUGUAGAAUGGUUUUGUUUACUUGAAAAUAGUAGAGAAUAGAGAGGUACAUUGUGGAUAUCGGGGAAAGGAAGGAGUUUGGAGUCAGAAGGCUUUGGUUUGGUCUUGGCAUUAUCCUUUACUAGCUUCGUGAUGCUAGGGCAGUGUGUUAACCUCCCUGAGUCUGCUUCGUUACUGCUGUUAGCUGGUGUUGAGUCAGCCCCCCGCUCAUGCCUGAUCCUGCACCAUCUGUGUGAUCCCUUCUGGGUCGGACCGUUGUGAACCAGAGAGUUUUCACUGGCUGAUUUUCGGAAGUAGAUUGCCAGGCCUUUCUUCCUAGAAACAUGUUCAGCACCAUAGCAACAUGCAAGCCUCCACUGAGGGGCGGGUGGUGGCUGCACAUGGGCUGCACUGUCCAGGAAUCAAUCCCACGUCUUCCUCAUGGAAGAUGAGAAUUCUCUCACUGAG